AUUGAACGCUGGCGGCAGGCUUAACACAUGCAAGUCGAGCGAGCGGCGGACGGGUGAGUAAUGUAUGGGGACUGCCCGAUAGAGGGGGAUAACUACUGGAAACGGUGGCUAAUACCGCAUACUAUCGGAUAACCCAUAUGGGAUUAGCUAGUAGGUGGGGUAAAGGCUCACCUAGGCGACGAUCUCUAGCUGGUCUGAGAGGAUGAUCAGCCAAACGGGAACUGAGAUACUGCCCAGACUCCUACGGAGGCAGCGGUGGGGAAUAUGGCACAAUGGGCGCAGGCCUGAUGCAGCCAUGCCGCGUGUAUGAAGAAGGCCUUAGGGUUGGAAAGUAUUGUCAGCGGGGAGGCGUUAGGCGAAGAAGAAGCACAGGCUAACUCCGUGCCAGCAGCCGCGGUAAUUC
rnacentral:rRNA from 1 species